AUAUAUAUAUAUACAUGCAUAUACAUAUAUACAUAUAUUAUAUAUAUAUGUGCGUGUGUGUGUAUGUAUGUAUGUAUGU